rnacentral:rRNA from 1 species
CUAACGAACUUGAGACCGGCGCACGGGUGCGUAACGCGUAUGCAACCUACCUUUUACAGGGGGAUAGCCCAGAGAAAUUUGGAUUAAUACCCCAUAAUACUGUUUAGUGGCAUCAUUUGAACAGUUAAAACUACGGUGGUAAAAGAUGGGCAUGCGUCCUAUUAGCUAGAUGGAGUGGUAACGGCACCCCAUGGCGACGAUAGGUAGGGGUCCUGAGAGGGAGAUCCCCCACACUGGUACUGAGACACGGACCAGACUCCUACGGGAGGCAGCAGUGAGGAAUAUUGGACAAUGGUCGGAAGACUGAUCCAGCCAUGCCGCGUGCAGGAAGACUGCCCUAUGGGUUGUAAACUGCUUUUAUACAGGAAGAAUAAGCUCUACGUGUAGAGUGAUGACGGUACUGUAAGAAUAAGCAUCGGCUAACUCCGUGCCAGCAGCCGCGGUAAUACGGAGGAUGCAAGCGUUAUCCGGAAUCAUUGGGUUUAAAGGGUCCGUAGGCGGGCUAAUAAGUCAGAGGUGAAAGUUUGCAGCUUAACUGUAAAAUUGCCUUUGAUACUGUUAGUCUUGAAUGAUUGUGAAGUGGUUAGAAUAAGUAGUGUAGCGGUGAAAUGCAUAGAUAUUACUUAGAAUACCGAUUGCGAAGGCAGAUCACUAACAAUUUAUUGACGCUGAUGGACGAAAGCGUGGGGAGCGAACAGGAUUAGAUACCCUGGUAGUCCACGCCGUAAACGAUGGAUACUAGCUGUUGGGUUUUCGGACUCAGUGGCUAAGCGAAAGUGAUA